rnacentral:lncRNA from 1 species
AUUUAGAGGUAAGCUUCAGGAUGUGUGGAAACCUGCUUUCAAGUGGUUAUGCAGAUCUUGUCAAUUCCUAAAUCCCAAUUUGAGUGUACGAUGCCCACUGCAUUACUCUUUCUCCUUUCUUAUGUAUGUGAUGGUUUAUUUAAUAAAAAUUUUCUAAAAAGGGACCAGAACAGGAGUUCCCAUCGCGGCUCAGUGGUAAUGAACCUGACUAGUAUCCAUGAGGACACGGGUUAAGGAACCCAACUCGUAUCCAUGAGCAUGGGCUCGCUCAGUAGGUUGAGGAUCUGGCAUUGCCUGAGCUGUGGUGUAGGUCACAGACACGGCUCAGAGCUGGUGUUGCUGUGGCUGUGGGGUAGGCUGGCUGCUGCAGCACUGAUUCGACCCCUAGCCUGAGAACAUCCAAUGUCUUGGAUGUGGCUCUAAAAAGACAAAAAAAAAAAAAAAAAAAAAGACCAGAACCACCUUCUCUGUGGGAAUGGAAACACAAGAUAGGUUCUGAGCAGUUCCAAUGUUAAGUACUAUGAGUUGACUGGCAACAACAGAAUCUAUUUUUGAUGCACCAUGAUGCUACUCUGGAGUGUGCCGGCUGACAGCCAGUGACAGGAAUAGCCUAAAGGAUAUUCUGUGAAAUAACAGCAUUUGUGUUUCCCACGGGCAUCAGAGAUCCCGACCCUGACUCUCUGGCCCCUUGAUCUAUAUUAAUGCACACUCCCAAACCAUAGGGGCUAACAGCUGCUAAAUACUUGAUGGCAGGAGGAGAAAGGGUCAUGAAGUGAGGCUCCACUGGGCAUUUGCAUCUUUGCCUGAGAAUGUAUUGGGUUUGUUGGUACCAAGGGAAGAAAUGCCAUGAAACGUGAAUCACUUGCUCUUCACCAAGCUCCUGUGAGCCUUGCUGAUGCUUAGAUCUUUACUUGCCAACCUAGAGACUUUACAAUUGCAAAAGGAAUCCAAUAGCUUGACAUGUGUGUUCAUCAUUUAACACUUUCAGCCUGAGCAGGGAAAAGGAAAAAAGUGUAUCUGAAGAUACACUGCAUAACUAGGACCAUCUCAGAGGACUAAACUGAUUUAUGAUUCUGACACAUACAUAUCAGCCCAGAUGUUUCUCAAGGUGUAAUAAAAGUGGCAGGGUUUCUUACAAACUGGUGUGUCCCAUCUGGCCGAGAAUGUGUGUGUCCACAAAGAUGAUCCAUGUUAUCCUGGGAAUUAUUAGGAUGCAAUAGCAUCAGAGGCAGUAGAGCCAGAUAGCUCUAAUCUAGUCUCAUCGCUUGCAGACAAAAGCAUGGACUCCAAUGGACUUCCAUGCAAUCCAUCUCUGUCAAAUGCAUUAAGGAAAUUACCUGUCAGAAACAUCAUGGCUGAGAUGCUGUGAUUAAACACAAACACGGAAAUGCUCAAGGGUACAGUGGAAUCAUUAGGGGGAAAAAACUAUACACAAACACCUCCUUCAACUGACUUUCCUUAGAAUUAAUUCUGUGGCAAAAUAUUUGAAAACUGCAGAGAGAUAGGUAACACGAAAGUCAUCGUGCACCCAUUCUGGCUGAAGCUGGACCCUGUGUUUCCAUCCACUAUCCCAUAAUAUCCCAUUGUUACAUGGAUAAAAUGAGAUCAACUCAAUGGACAUUCCUCGACUUACUGCAUGAUUUCAAAUGCAUUAUUUAAUCUAAGGCUCAAUUUCCUUAUGUGCAGGAUGGUGCAUUCAUAUGCAUAUCAGGGGUCACUGUUAUGCUUCAAAGAAAUAAAUUUAUAAAGGUUCAAGCAUACAUGUAUCCCAGUGCAAGUAUUCUUAUACUUAUUAUUAAAUAAUAAUUAUGAGGAAGCAUUAUUCAUGUUGUUAAUUAGUAUCCCCUUAAACACGCAUACAUGCUUAGAAGUCAAGGAUCUUGUUUAAGGUUUUUAGUGGAUAAGCAGAUGUACAGAAACUUGGGCUCAAGGCUGUUCUGACUGUAAAAGUUCAAGCUCUUUCUACAGCUCCUCCUUGCUCAAAUUCUUUAAAAAUUGAAGUUUCACAAGAGUUCACAAAGAGUUCAGGUGGACGGUUCAUAUCUCUUUAUACCCAUGGGAUCAGGACCUGUAUAAUUUGAACUCCCUGGGACUCUUAGUUUUCAUACUGUGGCUAACCCAGCAAGAAUGGUUUUAAAGGUAUUCUAAAGGUACCAAACUUGGAUAACUUCGUUAAUCUUUGAUCAUGAGAUUGAGUCCAUGGGGAACCACAGGGAGGUAAGAACCUGCACAUGACACAGCAGAACCAAUGCCCUAUGUCAUAAGGUGAGUUUGCCCAUAUACUGUAAUCACCAUCAUCUCUCCCCUGGAAUUCUGCUAAAGCCUCCUAACUCACCCCUCUGCUUCCACGCUUGCAUCCUCUCUGCAGUCCACUCUCCACAAAAUUCCUAUAAAAAUUAUCACGUGAAUGAUGUUCUCUCUCUGACAACUCCAACAGCUUUCUAUUGCUCUGAGACUAAAUUCCUUUGCCUUUGCAUGAGCAAAGAUUUCCUUGAUCUAUUUCUCCUCCAUCCUUCUUCUCUCCCUCUGGUUCUUGGAGCUUUUUAUUUUAUUUUUUUCCUGCUCUUCAAGCCACCUUGCCCUUCUCUGCCAAUGAUCACACACACACACACACACACACACACACACACACACACACGCCUUCUCAUGCUGAGGCUCCCAUUGUAGAUCAUGGCUUUCUUGCCCCACCAGGCUGCCAGCCAUCCCUAGGCAUCUGCACCACCCCUAGGCAUUCCACUUCUCACCAUCCAUUUAAUUUUCUUAAUGACCCCAUCGCAACUGAAAUUUUAUCCUCUCUUUUACUGGCUUACUUAUUCUUUAUCUCAGUCUCUUUUGAACUACUCCCCAGAUUAGAAUAGCUGCUUGGUAUGAGCGGAGACAGAUAAUCUUCACACCUAAAACUACACCUGACAUAGGAAGUGCUAAGUAUCUCCCUAUUGAACAAAACUGAAAGAUGAUGAAAAGAUCUGCAUAAACUGGAGUAAUGCUAAGCCCUAGCCUGCUUUCUGGGUGAGCCAUCUCUUCUAUGACUCCUGCCCGGAAACUACCAUUUGGUCCUGUAUCCUGAGGAGCACAAAGCAUCUGUUGUAUCUAAACUUUGAAUUGACCUCUGAAUGCUUAAUUAUUUAACAACAGUAAAUAAACGUCUUUGAUUCAAGAUGUCCAGUGGGCCUCAAAUGCUGGUACAAAACUUUAAACAAAAAAAUUACCCCUGCUUCUUCCUCUAAAUUUAAGGAGAGUAAUUCCCUACCUUCACGAACUUCUGCAAACUCACAAGCACACAGACUUGUAGUUAUUGGAGGAUAUAUCUUCCUAGUCCAUGAUGUCUUCCCAAAACAAGUCUAUCUCCCCUCAGGCACAUACACCUAUAAUAAAUACCUGGCCUGUGUGAAUCAACCCACUGGCUCUCAAUUAAUGGGACCAUGUUUGGAUACCAACCUCAACUGGGCCAAUUUUUUUUUUGUCUUUUGUCUUUUGAGGGCCACACCUGUGGCAUAUGGAGCUUCCCAGGCUAGGCGUCGAGUUGAAGCUGUAGCCAUGACCACAGCAACAUGGUAUUUGAGCCAUGUCUGCAACCUACACCACAGUUCAUGGCAAUGCUGGAUCCUUAACCCAUUGAGCGAGGCCAGGGAUCGAACCCGUGUCCUCACAGAUAUUAGUCGGGUUUGUUAACCCCUGAGCCAUGACAGGAACUCCUCAACUAUGCCAAUUUACUUCUCUCUCCUAGAGAAUUUGGAAUUAAGAGGGCCAUUCUCUUGGUUAUACUUUUACAUAUGCAGAAAACAUUUCUCUGUGCCUAGAAUGUGUAAAGCCUUGCUUUCAAUCCAUCUUUGCUUGUAGGAACUUAGGUUCUAAGAGGGGAAGCAUAUGGUAAAUGAGUGACUAAAGAACGGAAGAUAAUUUACGAUCCUAUCAUGCGAUUGGUAUGGCCAGGGAAGACCUUUGGAAGAGGGAACAUGUGUGCUGAAAGGCAAUUACCAUAAAUAAACUAGCGACGCAAGGAUCUGGGGAGAGUAUUCAGAAGGAGUGUGCACAAGGUGCAAAGUGGGGAAGAAAGGUAAAAUGUGAUAGGUGGGCCAUGCCUCACAGAGAAAAUGAUGAGUUGCUGUUCAUGGUGCUGCUGCCUUUCCUGCUCCCAGUUUCCUGGCAAGGCGUGUCCUGUUUCUCUCCCUCCUCUGGUAUCCUCUUGGCAUCUUCGGAAUGUUUUCAAACAAAAGUCUCCCUCUUCACUUAAGGGAGCCUGAAACGAAUUUCUGUUCUUUUCACCAAGAAGAAUUAGGACUCCCUCUUAUCCCACAGCUCACCAUAGCAUAUCAGGAAAUGGGCAAAAAGCUUGCAGAACAAGAAAUGAGAGCAGAUAUUCAGCUGCUGCUAAGC